ensembl:lncRNA LINC01766 long intergenic non-protein coding RNA 1766
ACCUCCAAUUGGCCAGUAGAAGUAGAGAGACAGGCUAGGAGGCGGGGCCUGCCUGGCCGCCAUGGUCCAGUCACUCCACGCUUGCAGAGUCCAAUUAACAAGAGCAAGUUCUGGUAGAAAGAAGGUGACUUUAUUCCAGAGCUCAGGUGUUUGAACUGAUGUCUGAUGAGGAUGAAUCCAGCGACUACCUCUGCCUGUCCAUCCUGGGCCUCUUCUGUUGCCUUCCCCUAGCCAUCCCAGCCGUGAUCUUUUCUUGCCUGACAAAGAACUACAAUAAAUCCAGUGACUAUGAGCUGGCAGCCAAGACCUCCAAACAAGCCUACUACUGGGCCAUCGCGAGCAUCACUGUGGGAAUCUUAGGUACCAUCUUGUACACCUACCUGAUAUACUUACUUAGAUUGUAAACUGCUUCCCAGCUCUUGAACAAACCACCAAAUAUACACCACAGUGCAAUUUACCUUGGCUCUAAGCAUCUACUUGGGCUGAAUGGAACACCUGCUCCUCAAUGUCUGGAGUGCCAAGCUAUCUAAGAUUAGAAAAACAAAAUGCAAA